GGGGUAGUUACUUUCGGGUAAUGAGACCGGCGCACGGGUGCGUAACGCGUAUGCAAUCUACCUUUUACAGGGGAAUAGCCCAGAGAAAUUUGGAUUAAUGCCCCAUAGUAUGUAUGAAUCGCAUGGUUUAUACAUUAAAGUUCCAACGGUAAAAGAUGAGCAUGCGUCCCAUUAGUUAGUUGGUAAGGUAACGGCUUACCAAGACGAUGAUGGGUAGGGGUCCUGAGAGGGAGAUCCCCCACACUGGUACUGAGACACGGACCAGACUCCUACGGGAGGCAGCAGUGAGGAAUAUUGGACAAUGGGCGCAAGCCUGAUCCAGCCAUGCCGCGUGCAGGAAGAAGCAUCUAUGGUGUGUAAACUGCUUUUGUACAGGAAGAAACACUCCCUCGUGAGGGAGCUUGACGGUACUGUAAGAAUAAGGAUCGGCUAACUCCGUGCCAGCAGCCGCGGUAAUACGGAGGAUCCAAGCGUUAUCCGGAAUCAUUGGGUUUAAAGGGUCCGUAGGCGGUUUGAUAAGUCAGUGGUGAAAGCCCAUCGCUCAACGAUGGAACGGCCAUUGAUACUGUCAGACUUGAAUUACUAGGAAGUAACUAGAAUAUGUAGUGUAGCGGUGAGAUGCUUAGAUAUUACAUGGAAUACCAAUUGCGAAGGCAGGUUACUACUAGUGGAUUGACGCUGAUGGACGAAAGCGUGGGGAGCGAACAGGAUUAGAUACCCUGGUAGUCCACGCCGUAAACGAUGGAUACUAGCUGUUGGGCGCAAGUUCAGUGGCUAAGCGA
rnacentral:rRNA from 1 species